CUGCUGUGCGGCCCCCCCACGGCUCGUCACCUCGGUCUGGGUCCCGCGGGCGGCCGGGCUGGUGCUCCCCAACGCAAGCAAGGCCCCGGACGUCUACGUGAAGGCCUGCUGCGAGGGACAAGAGGUGACGUCCGGCGUCCACAAGGCCUCCUCCGACCCAGACUUCAACUUCGGUGCCAUCUUCUGCCGCUGGCAGCCGCACAAGCCCAUCCGCAUCGAGGUCUGGGCCAAGCAGCUCCUGCGCAGCACGAGGCUGGGAUACGUCACCGUGUUGGCGGCCGAGCCCACGGAAGCGAGCCGGGCCGAGGUGCUGCAGCUGGAGGGGUCCCUCCGGGCCGGCCCCACCGGCUCCAUCCUGGUG